CGGGACCGGCGCGGGUCACGUGACGCCGGCCCCGGAAGCGCUCGUGAGACCACCCUGAGUGACCCUGCCCUGAGCUGUUGCCUGGAGCCAGCGCGGAGGUCGCGGGGACCCCAACGGUUUCGCGCUCGACGUAUCCGCCGCCAUGGCCUGGACCAAGUACCAGCUGUUCCUGGCCGGGCUCAUGCUCGUCACCGGCUCCAUCAACACCCUGUCGGCUAAGUGGGCGGACAACUUCGUGGCCCAGGGCUGCGGAGGCAGCAAGGAGCACAACUUCCAGCAUCCUUUCCUCCAGGCAGUGGGCAUGUUCCUGGGAGAGUUCUCCUGCCUGGCUGCCUUCUACCUACUCCAAUGCAGAGCUGCGAGGCAGCCAGAUGCCGGCAUGGAUCCCCAGCAGCCCUUCAACCCCCUUCUUUUCUUACCCCCAGCCCUCUGCGACAUGGCUGGGACCAGCAUCAUGUAUGUGGCCCUGAACAUGACCAGUGCCUCCAGCUUCCAGAUGCUGCGAGGAGCAGUGAUCAUAUUCACAGGCCUGUUUUCGGUGGCCUUCCUGGGGCGGAGGUUGGUGCUGAGCCAGUGGCUGGGCAUCCUUACAACCAUUGCAGGGCUGGUGGUUGUGGGCCUGGCUGACCUCCUGAGCAAGCAUGACGAUCAGCACAAGCUCAGCGAUGUGAUCACAGGGGACCUGUUGAUCAUCAUGGCACAGAUCAUCAUCUCUAUCCAGAUGGUGCUAGAGGAGAAGUUCGUCUAUAAGCACAAUGUGCAUCCCCUGCGGGCAGUUGGCACCGAGGGCCUCUUUGGUUUUGUCAUCCUCUCCCUGCUGCUGGUGCCCAUGUACUACAUGCCCGCUGGGGCCUUCAGUGGGAACCCUCGAGGGACACUGGAGGAUGUGCCGGAUGCCUUCUGCCAGGUGGGCCGACAGCCGCUCAUCGCCCUGGCGCUGCUGGGCAACAUAGGCAGCAUUGCUUUCUUCAACUUUGCCGGCAUCAGCGUCACCAAGGAGCUGAGUGCCACUACUCGGAUGGUGCUGGACAGCCUACGCACUGUUGUUAUCUGGGUACUGAGCCUGGCACUGGGCUGGGAGGCCUUCCACCCACUGCAGAUCCUUGGCUUCCUCAUCCUCCUGCUGGGCACUGCCCUCUACAAUGGGCUGCACCGCCCCCUGCUGACCCGCCUGUCCUGGGGCCGGUCCCCAGUGGCAGAGGACGGUGAACACGAGAGACUGCUCAGUGGCUCUCGGACUCCCAUCAAUGAUGCCAGCUGAACGUCCUGCGAGUUCUCUGCUGUUCCCAGGAUGCAGCUUGUUCACCCUGAAGCUGAGGCCACACAAGCUGAGUUCAGCAAACUUUUGAGAACUGAUGUCCUCCAAGGAUUGUGGCACAUCAAAGAAAACGGGAGAUGAACAUGUAAAGAAAGAAUCCCAGCACCGUGUGAUGUGCAAAAGGCCUUUGUAUGAGCGCAGGGGAAGGCAUACAGGAAAGAGGAGCUAACUCAGCCUGGAACUAUCAGAGCUCCGCUGGACCUGGGUGUGGAAGGACGAGCAGGUGUCUUCCUGGCUGGGGGGUAGGGAAAGAGGAAGUAUUGCAGGAAGAAGAAACAGCUGAUAAACACAAAAAAAGGUGUGUGUCACACACUAAGUGUGUACCUACUCAGGUAAGAAAGCUGGUAUGCGUGGCAGUAAGCGUGCAGCACACAAAGUGGCCACCAUCUCAAGGCUGGAGAGGUGGGCCAGUGCCCGGGUAGUGCUGUGCCUUGUAGACUUUGCCGAGGUGACAGAACUCUGUCCUAGACAGUAGAGUGCCAUGGAGUAUUAGGCAAGGGAAAACAUGCCCCCACUUGCUGUCUUGGAAAGAUCACCUGGUUGUUACACAGAGACAGGUUUGAUUAGAGUCAGGAGGUACUGAAGGCAGAGACUAGUGAAACAAUCUUAGAUUAAGUCGAGUCUGACCUAAAGAAAUGGUGAGAGGAAUCAAUACAAGAGCUAUUCAAGGAACAAAUUUACAUUUUAGAGCCCUUGGCUGUCGGGUCCUCUGUUGUGUAAACCAUCACCAAAGAGUGAGUCUUCUGAAACAGUCUGCUCACCCUGGCCCCCAUCUCCAAUGGCCCCACUGAGUAUCCCCUAGUACAGCUCCAGCCAGCAAACUCAAGAAGAUUCCACCUUACAGGACUGGAGACCCAAUUCGAUUCAGUCUGCUGUUGAGAGUUAGUCUUCAAGUUAGUCUUCUCAAGCUAGGCAGGAACUCCCACCAGAGUUCAGGAACUCCCACCAGAGUUCAGGAACAGCCAAGGGGGAUGUCACCAUGAGCAUCACCAAAUCAUCCAAAGGUCAUCAGCACAAAAUAAUGUUCAUUAACUUUUGUUUAUUAAGUAAAUGUUGGAAGAGGAAAAGGCCACCAAAAUCAAGAUAAAGACUUGAGGUAGAUCAUUUGGGUUCUGUGGCAGUCUGAUGAUGCUGAGGGUAGUGGUCUUGACUAUGAAUCCAGAGUUCCGGACUUGGCUCUAACUGGUGGCCUGAGAAGUCCCUUUCCCUCCCAAGUGUUAGUCUCCUUAUCCCUUGGAUAAAGGAGGUAAACCAGAUAUGCUCAUAGAUGUCCCCAGGAAUCUGUGGUCUUUGUCCCAACUGAUGGUCUAGAGAGCCUUCCAUGGCUGACCAGCAAAAGUCCCUACUUAGUGCUGGAGCUCAUGAUCAACCUUAAUACCCAAAGAAAAUGCCAUUUUGGUGGAGUUCACUUAUUGUAAUUCACUCACUUCUGCGAUUGAAGAAGGGUGAGACCUGGCAGGAUACCAGCCCUCAGCCCCACCCUGUACAGGUGCUGGCCCAGGCCUCUCCAGAAAUCAGAACUUGGCCCACUUCCUUGGGCCAGCCUCUCUCUCCCCAAGAAGUGCAGAAUCCUCUGAGGAUGAAGGUCCUGGUGCUCAUUUUGAUUCUGGCUUGGAUGGGAUGGGUCACCUCACAAUUAGGUAACUUACCUCUCCUACUGAAUUUCACAUGCCCUCUCCUGCUCCUACCCAGGGUCAGUCCAAAUGUUCAUCUGGUUUUGAAACUGAAUUAAGAUUUGGACUACUAGGAGCUUUUAAAAAGGCUACCCACUGCUCUCUUUGAUCUGUCCACUCUUACAAACACUAGAAUAAUUCUCCCAGGGCCUAUACCCUGAGAUUCUUCAGUUCACUGUCCACCAAGAUGCCACUGUAACUCUUCAAUGCCUUGGCAAUCUGCCUGCCUGUCAGGAUGCAGCCUUUAUUUCUAACAUCGGGAGGAUCAUCAAACUAGAAGAAGCUUCUAGUCCUCCCAUGUUAAUUAGUUUCCCUCUUUCUCACCCCUUCCCCCAGAUGGUAGCAGGGAACAGUGAGUAGGUGGGACUGGUGGGCUUUUCCUUUUCAUUAAGUCACUAUUUGUUUUCUUCCCAAUUGUUUAAGCAAUCACAUUUGUUGAGAAUAUAAUAAGGGCUAUAUAAUAAUUCCGAUGAAACUUUGUGCACUGAUGAAUGUAAAUUGGUGCAGCCACUGUGGAAAACUGUAUGGAGGUUCCUCAAAAAUUAAAAAUAGAACUCCCAUAUGACCCAGCAAGCCCACUUCUGGGUAUUUAUUCAAAGAAAACAACUUGAAAAGAUAAACGUACCCCCAUGUUCAUUGCAGUAUUAUUUAUAAUAGCCAGGAUUUGGAAACAACCUAAAUGUCCACCAAUGGAUGAAUAAAGACACUAUUAUAUACAAUGGAAUAAUAAUUAGCCAUAAAAAGGAAUGAAAUCUUGGAUUUGUGGCAACAUGGAUGGACCUCAAAGGCAUUUUGCUAAGUGAAAUAAGUCAGAGAAAGACAAUACCUAGUUUGAUCUCCCUUAGAUGUGAAGUAAAAUAAAAAGAUCCUCUAUUUUCUACCUUGUUUUCUAUUUCUAAUAGAGCAAAGAAAGGUCUAUAGCAGAAUUAAUGAGCGAAGAUGUGCUCUGUCUGAUUAAUGGGUGUUGGGGACUGAUGCAGCUGGACUUCUUACCUCUGUUGACCUGGACUGUUGAAAAGCAAUAGUCUUUCUGUGACUUAACUGCACCUUAAUGGAUUGAGCCAAACAUUCCUUUUCCUCCCUUCCUUUGCUCCUUUCUUUUUUAAUUGUCAUGAACUAUACACAACAUAAAACUUACCAUUUUGACCAUUAUUACAUAAUUAAGUGUACAAUUCAGUGGCAUUAAGUACAUUCACUUUGUUGUGCAACCAUUACCAUCAACCAUCUCCAGAACAUUGUCAUCUUCCCCAACUGAAACUCUACCAUUAAGUGACACUAACUCUCCACUCAUCUUUUUCCCCCAGCCCCUGGCAACCACCAUCCUACUUUCUGUCUCUAUGAAUUUGACUACUCUACACCUUGUGUGGAAUCAUAAUAUUUGCUCUCCUGUGUUUGUUUUAUUUCAUUUAACGUAAUGCUUACAAAGUUCAUCUGUGUUGUGUCAGAAUUGCCUUUCUUUUUAAGACUGAAUAAUCUUCCACUGUAUAAGUUACAUUUUGUUUAUCUGCUCAUUGGAUAUUUGGGGCUAUUGUGAAUAACGCUGCUAUUAGCAUUAUUGUACAGAUACACCUGUUCAAGUCCCUGCUUUUACUUCUUUUGAGUAUAUACCCAAAAAUGGAACUGCUUGAUCAUAUAAUAAUCCUCCACUGAAUUUUUUGACUAAUUGCUAUACUGUUUUCCACUGUGGCUGCACCAUUUUACAUACCCACCAGCAGUGAAUAAGAGUUCUGUGAAAUCACUAAUUUUGUGUGACAUCUUUCCUGAUUUCAGUACAUGUUAACUGUAGAACAUUUUAAAAAUGCAAGAAAGCGAAGUGUAGAAAAUAAAAUCUGCUCUAUUCUAACUA